GCUACAAGGAUGUGAGCAGCAGUUUCCCUUCACGAACGGGUCAAAUUCAUGGAAGCCACGUGCCUGCUGCUUCUGGCCUACACAAACAUGCAGCCACCAUAGUAAAGUUCUUGCAAAGACAUUCUACACGAACUUGCCCAAAGGCGGAAGGAAGGCACGCACAGAUGGAUGCACAGAAAUCAUGGGGCUGCCGUAGAAGCUGUGAAUGAGCAUUAACCUACGUACAGAAAGGAGCGAAGUGGAGCUGUCCAUGGGCCGUGCACACAGUUUAAUAAGCAGGCUUGCAACACUUUUGACAAAUAUGUUCCUGAAUACAUCUGCCAAAGUGGCAUUUAAAGAAGCAUGUAGUAGUGUACUUCACUGUUUAUUUGGCAUGAAGCAGCAGGUAUGCUUCCGUCAUCAGCAAGUUCACACAGUACAGUGCAUCUACACAUGGCAUGCUACCCCCACAUCUACCAGCUCGGGAUGUGUAGCUUGAUUGUAAAAUGUUUACUUU